ensembl:lncRNA
GCGGGGAGCAGGAGCCUAACCCGGCAACGCAGGGCAUAAGGCCGGAGGGGGAGGGGACACACCCAGGAUGGGACGCCAGUCCAUCGCAAGGCACCCCAAGCGGGACUCAAACCCCAGACCCACCGGAGAGCAGGACCCGGCCCAACCCGCUGCACCACUGCGCUCCCGCACCCCUGUCUGAGAUAGAGACACUGUUAAUAUUGAGAGACAUUUCCGCCAAAAGGCCAAAGGAGUUUACUGUAGAGAGGGAAACGGCAAUGCUUAGAACGGCAUCACAUUUUACAGUAUGAAUAAGUUUAGUAUACUGUAGUAUCAAGCACCGCAGUUAACGCACAAUGGUCAACGGCAAGAAGGCAUGAUGUUCAAGUGGUUUUUAUUGUCAUUCCUCUAUAUAGCUUGUAUAUGGUGGAACAAAAUGUCGUUUCUCCGGAGACCAUAGCGCAACACAGAACAAGAGUACAGGACAGUAAAUAAAUGCACAGGACGUGGACGUGGAUGCGGAUAUGGGCUGUGAACUGUAGGCAGUUUAUAGUGUAUGGAGUCAUGCUGGGUUAGCUGUUUGACUGUGCCAGGUGAGUGUUGGGAGGCAGCAGGGUUUUGAGUAAUCUGACUGCCUCAGGGAAGACGCUGUUGCGGAGUCUGCUGGUGACCCGAAGUGGCCGCUGUGCGCUACCGCGCCGCCAUCCUGUGCUUUUUUUUAAUACGGUAUCUUCUCUAUCUUUUUAUAUCUUUUAAAGCUAUAGUGUCUCAAGGCUUAAUAUGAAAAUUCACAUCGUGAUGAUGAACGCCUUUUCCAAGGACACGGUGUACUUUGAAUGUGGAGCUGUGGUGGACGUUGUUGAUGACCAGGGCCUCAUCCUGUCUCCAGGCUUUCCUUACAACUACUCUUCAGGGGCACACUGUGUGUGGCAGUUCUUUGUGCCUGUGGGCUACCAGCUUGUGCUGGAGAUGUUUGACUUUGACGUUUAUGAGAAUCAUCAAAGCCCUGCCAAGUAUGUGUCUGGGACACAUGCGGACGAGGACGCCCACAACAGCACUUCGCCAGCCCGGAGGGAUGCUGCCGUGGAUUAUGUGCCCAUCGCCAAGGAACCUUUCUUCCCAGCCCAAGAGGGCACAGUCAAGCCACUUCAGGCUUUCCAGAAGAAUGACAUCAAGCAUUUGGUGAUGCAGGAGAAGUCCGCAAAAAUGGAAAUGGCCAAGGUGCCCAACUGGGCCAAAUGGUCUGCCGACGUGCCUUCUGCACGACCCCUGCACCUCCGGCCAGCGGAUGUGACGGAUCGGAGACAUGUCUCACCGGAGGGCUUCGGAGGGGAAGCCGACCCUAACCCGACCCGGCCCACCCGGCAGGCUGCUCAGACCCCGCCGUCCGAUACGGGGGCUGAGACCCAGCAGCCUGUGGUGGAUGCCUGCCCUCAUGAUGUCCUCUACAUCUCCGACCUAAUCACAUUCUCCUCCCGCUUCUGCGGCUCCAACAGCCCCACGGGCCAGCGGAUGGUGUUCGGCUCUCCGGAGGAGAUGGUGGAAGUCAUCAUGGAGCUGAUCACAACCACGCACUGGGGCCGAGGCUUCGCUCUGCUCUUCCGCUACCACAACCACACAGAUGCCGAGGACCGACGCCUCAACGCGCUCGCUACAGGCAGAAUGGACACUCUGCUGACCGCUUUGGGAGGGGUGACCUUCUUUGCGCUGGUUCUCACCAGUGCUCUCUGCAUAAUCUUCAGACCAAAGCUGUGCGCGAAGGGGGCCGCCACCUGUUCGCCCAACAGCUCUGAGUUGCAGGGCGACAUGCCGAGUACCGGGACAGAUGCAGGCGAGCUGCAGCUGGUGGUGCCGAGUUACACGGGCGUGCCGGUCUGCGCCGAGAGCAGGAUCAUCGGGAACCCGGGGAACGUCAAGCGCUCCUUCAGCCUGCCACACACAGGUGGGUCCUCCGGCAAGUCUGGCCGCCCCGUUCCCCUGGAGCUUUCGCUCCGGACCGCGUCCGCUGGAGCCGCACAUGACCUCAUUCGUCCCUAA